rnacentral:lncRNA from 1 species
CAAAUAAAUUAAAUCAGAAUAUGUUAAAUAGUGUCAGUAGCUCUGCAAACUGUUUACCAUCAGCUAGAUUAAUGAUAGUACUGAUUCAAAAUAACCUAUUAAUUUAUUAAUAUCAUUAUUAAUAAUGAUGACACUCCCAGAAUUUUUUUAUAGUAGCAAAUAUCAAAAUUGAUUGUUAAUUUUUAUCUAAAUGUUUACCAUUUUUACCAGCUAACUCGAAUUUUGUGGACUUAUUAUCAACACUAACUCUUCCUAUUUAUGCUUCAUUUUUCCUUUUUAAAGUAUAUUUCUAUUAGAGUGAUUUGAUUUUAGAAUUAAAAACCCAUUUGUUGAGAAAUGUAGUAGCAGGAGAUGACAUGUUUAGCUAAAUCAUCUCCCUUCUUUCACACCUCCAUCCAUGAUUAUUUGAACCAAUCAUCUUAUCUUCCGCUUCAAUCAGAUAGAACCUUCUCACUGGUGUACAGAUUUGGUAUAUUUAUAAUAAACUUGAUGUGGUAUAUUUAUGAUAAACUUGAUGUUGGUUUCUUUACAUAUACAGCUUUAUGGAAAUGUAGUAACAAAACCACUAUUAGGCGUAGUGGCGUUAGCUCGAAUUAACAAUCUUUUAAGCAUACAUACAUAUACAUUAUCAGGAGUUGGAUCCAAAACACAUAGUAAUGGGCAGUUAUCAUGACUUGUUAUAUGCUUUAAUUGUUCUGCCUAGUACCCGCAACUUGAGCAGUGAAGACUACAUCAAAGAGGAAAAGCUAGAAUGCUCUAACUGACUGAUCUGUCAAUAGUCAAAGAGGAAAAGCUAGAAAGCUCUAACAGACUGAUCUCUCUAUAGUCAAAGAGGAAAAAUAGAAUGCUCUAACUGACUGAUCUGUCAAUAGUCAAAGUUCUCCUUCUAAUUAAAUGGUUGAGUAUCUCAAAUCUACAUAUAUUUCAAAUAUAAACAGAGAGUACCAAAGCAGGAGGAACCUAGCCCAUCAUUCAGUUUAAUGUUUAAUUCAGUUUAAGGAUGCUCCUGUAUUACUGUAAGUGGUAAGGGAGUUAGGGAAUUCCGCCCACAUGAUUGUCUAGGACACUGGCACAAUUAUUAGUUUGUAGUACUGCAGUGCAGAUAAUGUUAGUGUAGCAACAACUAGACCAGUGGUGUCUUCAUUAUAUUAAAUGAAGGGACUGUAGCAUGCAUUAGUGGCAUUACUGGUUACAAAGAAUGCAUUGUUCUCUUAAAAAAGAAUGCCAAAACUAGAAGUUGCAAAAACAUUCAUAAGAAAAGAUGAUGAAAUUGAAUUGGCCGCGUUACACAAGCAUUCCAAAACCUGCUAUCAGCAAUUAAAUUAUUGGUGCAUUGAUGGCAAACACAGGACUUCUGCUGUGAGGGCAAACAUAUCUAAUGCUUAGGAGGAGAAAUAGCAUGUAGGCAUUAAUACUCCCACUGUAACGUAAUGUAGCAAUGCAAUAUAAAAGCAAAGAACUGAUAGUAAUAGUGUAAUAGAAAAAGUGCAAAAAAUAUAUAAUAAUGCUGAAUACAUUUUUUAUCUGUUUCUUUAAUUAUUGACACAUUUUAACAAUUUAACAAAGACUUGAGAGCUUGACUUAAUGUUGUGUUUAUAUUACGAAUUAGCAAAAAUGAUCAGGUAAAAUAUUAUCAGAUAGUUCAAUACUUUUCGUCAAAUAAUCUGACCCCAUUUAAUGCUAUAUGUACUGAACACUAGACUAUAGCUCAAUCUAUCAUAACCCCCAGUUUGUUCUGUGCCAGUAUGCAUUGUUUUAUAAUUUAUGAUAUUUAAUGCAAUGUUACUUAUAUAUCACUUUGUUUGUGACCCUUUUAUUGUAUAACAGGUUGAAACCUGCUGAUACUUUGUAAAAAAAAUAAUAAUAAUAUUUAUAUUCCAAAAGGUUGCCAUAAUGGGUAAUUGACCCAGUUAAAACAGGAGCGACUUAAUCCCAUGUGCAGUGGUCCCUUAACCAUUCCAAAGGCCAGUCUUCAAACAAUGUGUCCUAGAAAAAUGUCUGCUCAUAGAAAUAUAUAAAAUGAGAAUUCAAGGUUUCAAGUUCCUAUACUGUACUCAAGUUAAAUACAUAAGGGACAUCUUAAUGCUGCGAUAUGUUAAUCUGGGAUACUGCACUGUAUAUGGCUUAAUGUGGUUGGAGAAAUUAAUAAAGAAUUGAAAAAAAUAUAUAUGAAACAUUUGGGCAUAUUUAACAUGUAUUAUGUUCUCUACUGAAUUUGAAAGGCUAAUAUAAAUACAUAUUGCAAGAGAAUAAUUGCGGAUUUCAAAUUGGAAUUAUGACAUACAGGCGAGGUGACAAGGACACCAAAUUUUCAAUGAGCAUUUAUUUGUACAAAGCCACUGCAAUGUCACAAAUUGUUCUAAAGUUGUGCUUAUCAUUUUUAUUUUGUGAUCUGUUUGUUAAGUAUGAAAAAUGCUAUUCGAUAUGCACCAGCUAUAAAGCAAUGAAAGUUAGCACCUGGAUUGGAAUUUGAAUAUUCGUAUUGAUAAAAAGGAACCAAGGAAACACGUUUGGCUUGUGUAAAAAUUAAAUUAAAUCAUAGAAUCAUCAAAAGGUUGUAAGAAAAAAAAAUACAAUUAUGUGCUAUUUUACAAAGCCUAUGUUUAUGUCUUGCAAACAUUACAUUUACCUUCUGAAACUGUCUACAUAAUUAUGUUAUGCUGUCCCUCUCACCUCACCCAUAGUAGCCCUACAACAUUAUAGAUCUCAGUGGUAUUCAUUUGGGUCUAAAAGUACACAAUGGUCUUAUCAUACCAUCUAUUUAUUCCACCUCCUUGUGUAUAAUUCAUGUCCUGUAAUGACAUGGCAUCCCUUCCUUGGCAUCUUGGCAGAGGGAGGGAAGAGACCUUUUUACAGAGCUGUUUAAUUACAAAAUUAAGAUAAUUCUGACAUAUUUUUUUUUUCUUUACAGUCAGGUCCCUUUUUUUUUACUGUCUGAAGGCUAAAUUUUGUUCUGAAAUGAAAAGUAAAAUAACACUGGCAUCCAUGAGUUUGAUAGAAUGAGGCGUUAUGACCUUCAGUGGCUGAAUAUAGUAUUUAGGUUUAUUUAGUAGUAUUUAGCGGUAUUCCAAAUAGGUUUAGAUGUUUGUUUGAAUAAAACGUUAAAGGAAAAGUCCAAGCAUCAUAACCACUACAGCCUUCCGUAGUGGUUACGAUGCCAAUAGUACCAUGUUCCUGUUUCUCAGUAACAGGGAAAACAGUUUUGCAAUGGUUUAACAUCUUACAUUGGUCCCCACCAGGGGCUAAGGGUCCUUUAGAGAUGGCAUCCAACUUCUGCUGAGCUGCACAAUACAGGAGUCUAUCACGAUGGCCAUUUAUUAUUAGCUAAGAGUGUUGGUUAACCUCUCUCAGCCAAUGAAUGCAACUUUAAAAAGUUGAAAUAAUAACGAGCAAAAAAAAUAAAUACAAAAAUUCUGUUUUUUUGUGAUUCGUUUUAGUACAUGCCACUUCUCCCCAAUAAUAAAUUUUAUUUUCUAUGUGUACUUUUCAUUACUAUCUCUCUAGGUAAGAGACAUAUUGAUGUCUUGGUCGAUUCUUGGUAGUAAAAGCCAAAUUAGGAACAAUCGUUAUUGAGACCGUUUUGAUAUACAAAUCACUUUUAUGAUUAUGUUUGCCUAUUCUUAAUGUUUAAAGUUUAGUACAAAAGUCCUGCUGUUGCUUAUUAUUGCUAUUCUCAAAGCCUGAUUAAAUUCUGCUACAAUGGUUAAAAUGCCCUGACAGUAUAUUUCCACCUUUAUAAACAUUACAAAAAACAAACAAACAAGCCCUAGAAACAAUUUCUCAUUUAUAAACACAUCAUUUAUGUAUUGUGUUUGUAUGUGUGUGUAUUUCUAUAAUCAUUUCUACAGCUCUACAAAUAUAAUAUGUCAUCUGGAUACUCAACCAUAAUGUGAUUGUCAUAUUGAGGACAUUUUAAUAAGUUUCUCAAAUAAAAUACUGUUUUAAAAAUUUUUUUUUAAAAAAUUGGUUUUCUUGUUAAUUGAUGUUUGCUGAGCUAAUACUGAAGAUUUUGCUCUCCUAGUAAAAAAAAUAGAAGUAAAUAAGAACUUUACAUUAAUGAAGCAGUUUUGGUGUAUAAGUUUUGCCCCCGCAGUCUCACUGCUUAAUUAUCUUCCAUUUAGGAGUUAAAUCACUUUUGUUACUGUCAAUGCAGCCCUAGCCACACCUCCCCUGGCUCUGACUCACACAGCCUGCAUGAAAACAAAAUGAUUUAAUUUUCAAUCAGAUGUAAGUUACUUUGAUUUAUUUUUAUCUCCUCUUCUGUAAAUUGAACUUAAAUCACAUACAGGAUGCUAUUGCAGGGUCUAUCAAGCUAUUAACAAAGCAAUAUAUAAGAAAUUCUCAAUUUAACAGAAUUUGCAAUAAAGGAAGUGUAAACAUUAGAUGUCUCUUUACAGGAAGUGUUUGGUCAGGCUGUGUAGGUCACAUGCAGGGAGGUAUGGCUAGGGCUGCAUAAGCAAAGUGAUGUAACUCCUAAAUUGCAAAGAAUUGAGCAGUGAGACUGCCGGGGCAUGAUCUAUACAGCAAAACAGCUUCAUUAAGCUAAAGUUGUUUUGGUGACUAUAGUGUCUUUUUAAUGAACCACUGCUUGUUAUGUCAAUGUCUAGUGUUGCAAUAUAUUCUUAAAACCAGUUCAUCCAAGACUAGAGAUAAGCAUUUAUUAAACUAUAUCUAUAUCCUGGUGGUGGAGUUGAAAACCUUAAUGUAAGGUAACAUAUACACUAUAUAAAAAAUGAUUUUAAAUGAAUGGUAAAGUCUAUGUAGUAGGCUCUAAAUUUUAGAUAUGGAAUUAUUAUGCUAUCUGACGAGCAGAAGUUAUCUUUGACAUGUAGCAUGACCUGCAUGUAUCAAAUAAGUUAGAAAUGUCCUGCCUGAUCAUUGUUUUACAUAUACAGUAUAGCACUUUGUUUUGUACAUUUUAGGUCACAUUUUCAGCAUAUAUUAUUUAAAGGAAAUUUUUUCUAGUGCUGGAAUAAUAUCACGUUGGAUCUGUGAAUAGUGAAUAGACUUAGUGCUUGCUACGUACAAAAUAAAAUUUAGUUCAAUUUCUAAACUCAGAACUAUCACCAUGGAAACCAACAUAAUAUUUCUGCAGAUUGAUCAUCAUUGGAUUUUUCUUCAACACUUUUCUUGUUUCUAUAACAUUCACUCAUUGGUAGCAGAUGAUGAGGGAGGGGUGUGGGGUGAAGCUGAAAGUUUUGCUAGGUAAAUAUAUAAUUUUAUAUAUUAUUUUUUCCUAUAUAGAUUUUCU